GAUGAAGAACGCAGCGAAAUGCGAUAAGUAAUGUGAAUUGCAGAUUUCAGUGAAUCAUCGAAUCUUUGAACGCACCUUGCGCCCUGUGGUAUUCCGCAGGGCAUGCCCGUUUGAGUGUCAUUAAAUCAUCAACUCUAAACACCUUGUGUGUCUAGUGCUUGGUCUUGAGGGUCUUGCAGGCGUCUAGACGUCUGCUCCCUUUAAAUCUAUUAGCGAGACUUCCCUUUGCUGACCGUCUCUUGGCGUGAUAGUUAUCUACGUCGAUAUGAGCGGUUCUCGUUGGGCUUGCUUCUAAUCGUCUUCGGACAGCCGAUUUGGGUGCAUAUAUGCGCUUCAUUUCAAACCUUUUUGACCUCAAAUCGGGUAGGACUACCCGCUGAACUUAAGCAUAUCAAUAAGCGGAGGA
rnacentral:misc_RNA from 1 species